rnacentral:rRNA from 1 species
UACGAGUGCGUCGAGCGUUAUCCGGAAUCAUUGGGCGUAAAGGGUGUGUAGGUGGUGAGGUAAGUCGGAUGUGAAAUCUCCGAGCUCAACUCGGAAAUGGCAUUGGAAACUACCUUGCUCGAGGGUUGGAGGGGGGACUGGAAUACUUGGUGUAGCAGUGAAAUGCGUAGAUAUCAAGUGGAACACCAGUGGCGAAGGCGAGUCCCUGGACAACUCCUGACACUGAGGCACGAAAGCUAGGGGAGCAAACAGG